UCUUGGUCCAUUAGAGGAAGUAAAAGUCGUAACAAGGUCUCCGUAGGUGAACCUGCGGAGGGAUCAUUACACAAAUAUGAAGGCGGGCUGGAACCUCUCGGGGUUACAGCCUUGCUGAAUUAUUCACCCUUGUCUUUUGCGUACUUCUUGUUUCCUUGGUGGGUUCGCCCACCACUAGGACAAACAUAAACCUUUUGUAAUUGCAAUCAGCGUCAGUAACAAAUUAAUAAUUACAACUUUCAACAACGGAUCUCUUGGUUCUGGCAUCGAUGAAGAACGCAGCGAAAUGCGAUAAGUAGUGUGAAUUGCAGAAUUCAGUGAAUCAUCGAAUCUUUGAACGCACAUUGCGCCCUUUGGUAUUCCAAAGGGCAUGCCUGUUCGAGCGUCAUUUGUACCCUCAAGCUUUGCUUGGUGUUGGGCGUCUUGUCUCUAGCUUUGCUGGAGACUCGCCUUAAAGUAAUUGGCAGCCGGCCUACUGGUUUCGGAGCGCAGCACAAGUCGCACUCUCUAUCAGCAAAGGUCUAGCAUCCAUUAAGCCUUUUUUUCAACUUUUGACCUCGGAUCAGGUAGGGAUACCCGCUGAACUUAAGCAUAUCAAUAGGCCGGAGGAA
rnacentral:rRNA from 1 species